GUCCUGCAGGCUCAUGGUAAGGAACCGGGCUUGUAACCGAAAGGUCAUAGGUUCGAUUCCUGGGUAGGACA
rnacentral:tRNA from 1 species